AACGAACGCUGGCGGCAGGCUUAACACAUGCAAGUCGAGCGCCCCGCAAGGGGAGCGGCAGACGGGUGAGUAACGCGUGGGAACGUACCCUUUGCUACGGAAUAGCUCCGGGAAACUGGAAUUAAUACCGUAUGUGCCCUACGGGGGAAAGAUUUAUCGGCAAAGGAUCGGCCCGCGUUGGAUUAGCUAGUUGGUGGGGUAAUGGCCUACCAAGGCGACGAUCCAUAGCUGGUCUGAGAGGAUGAUCAGCCACACUGGGACUGAGACACGGCCCAGACUCCUACGGGAGGAAGCAGUAGGGAAUUUUGGGCAAUGGGCGCAAGCCUGACCCAGCAACGCCGCGUGGGUGACGAAGGCCUUCGGGUUGUAAAGCCCUUUUCUCGGGGAAGAUGAUGACGGUACCCGAGGAAGAAGCACCGGCUAACUACGUGCCAGCCGCCGCCGUAAAAC
rnacentral:rRNA from 1 species